AGUGAACGCUGGCGGUAGGCCUAACACAUGCAAGUCGAACGGCAGCACAGUAAGAGCUUGCUCUUACGGGUGGCGAGUGGCGGACGGGUGGGGAAUACAUCGGAAUCUACUUUUUCGUGGGGGAUAACGUAGGGAAACUUACGCUAAUACCGCAUACUACCUACGGGCGAAAGCAGGGGAUCUUCGGACCUUGCGCGAUUGAAUGAGCCGAUGUCGGAUUAGCUAGUUGGCGGGGUAAAGGCCCACCAAGGCGACGGUCCGUAGCUGGGCUGGGAGGAUGAUCAGCCACACUGGAACUGAGACACGGUCCAGACUCCUACGGGAGGCAGCAGUGGGGAAUAUUGGACAAAGGGCGCAAGCCUGCUCCAGCCAUACCGCGUGGGUGAAGAAGGCCUUCGGGUUGUAAAGCCCUUUUGUUGGGAAAGAAAAGCAGCAGGUUAAUACCCCGCUGUUCUGACGGUACCCAAAGAAUAAGCACCGGCUAACUUCGUG
rnacentral:rRNA from 1 species